rnacentral:rRNA from 1 species
GACGAACGCUGGCGGCGUGCUUAACACAUGCAAGUGGAGCGACGAACCGGGGCUUGCCCCGGGGCAGAGCCGCGAACGGGUGAGUAACACGUGGGUUACCUACCCCGAUGAUUGGGACAACCCGAGGAAACUCGGGCUAAUACCAAAUGUGCUCCUGGCCAUAAUGGCCUUGAGGAAAGGAAGCUUCGGCCUCCGCAUCGGGAUGGGCCCGCGGCCCAUUAGCUAGUUGGUGGGGUAACGGCCUACCAAGGCUACGAUGGGUAGCUGGUCUGAGAGG